rnacentral:lncRNA from 1 species
UGCUACAUGUUUGCGUGACUACCAACAGGCUUAAGCAGUAUAUGCUUAAUCAUACGACCUAGCUUAUAUUAAAGUUAGAUCCUCUUAGGUACAUUUUUUAGAAGUCAUCUCUAUGAGGUAGAAUAUCUAGAUGGCAAGUCAUGCUUUUGGAAUAUGAUAUUAUGUAUGUGUCAUAAAAAUCCAUAAAAUGAGGUGCAAUAGCUUUUUUUUUUAUCGAUAGGGCUACAAAAGACUAUGAACCUAUAAAGUUUGACUUCUGGGUUGAAGAGUUAAUGACAAUCUUCCAAGACAAAGAUGAAAAACCUAUGAAAAAGUUAUGGAAGAUGCUUUUUGAUGGAGUAUCUAAUAUAAUGGGGCAUGAUAUUGGGGCAAUAUUAAUAUCCUCAUAAAGAAAUUAUUACCCUAGCACUGCAAGACUAGAUUUUAAUUGCACAAAUAAUGUAGCUAAAUAUGAGGCAUUUGUCAUGGGAUUACAAAUGGCCAUCGAAAAAAAGAUUGAUAUGUUAGAAGUGUAUGGGGAUUCAACCCCAAUAAUUUACCAACUGAAAUGUGAAUGGGUGACCAGAGACCCUAAAUCGGUGUUAUAUUAAAGGCAUACAACUAAUUUAAUUAAGAAGUUUAAAGAGGUACAAUUGUAACAUAUCUUUUGAGAAGAAAAUUAGAUUACUAAUGCAUUGGCUAUUUUGAUCGCGAUGCUCAAGUUAAAUGCCAAUACAAAAACCUAGCCCAUUAGAGUAUAAAUACAGGAUUCACCAGUCCAUUGUUCAAAUGUUGAAAAAGAAGCAGAUCAUCGGCUUCGAUAUCAUGAUAUUAUAUAGUAUAUUAAGUGUCGAGAAUAUCCUGAGUAGGCCUCAAAGAAUGACAAGAGGAUUAUUUGGAGCUUAACAAUAGGGUUUGUACUCGAUGGAGAAAUCCUGUACAAAAAGAGUCGAGAUCAGAUAUUGCUAAGAUCUGUAGAUGCUCAUGAAGCAAGAAAAAUAUUAUAUGAAGUUUAUGAGAAGAUUUGUGGAACACAUGCCAACGGAUAUAUAAUGGCAAAACAAAUAAUGAAAGUAGGUUAUUACUAGUCUACAUUGGAAAAUGAUUACAUCAAUUAUGCCAACAAGUGCCAAAAGUGUCAAAUUUAUGAAGAUAAAAUUCAUUCCCCUCUGGUCCCACUACACGUGUUGGUACCUCUAUGGCCAUAUUCUAUGUGGAAAAUGGAUGUGAUCAGUCCUAUAACCCCAAAAACUUCAAAUGGGCAUCGUUUCAUCUUCGUGAUAAUUGGUUACUUCACCAAACGGAUGGAAACAACCUCUUAUGCUAGUGUUUUGUGAUCAAUGGUAUGCAAAUUAAAAAAAAAAAGAUAAUAUACUGACAAAGGGUCUUAAAAAGAAUUAUCUCUGAUAACGGUAGCAAUUUUAAUAGUAAAUUGAUGAAAGAUGUGUGAUCACAAUUCAAAAUAAAGCAUUAUCAUUCAGCACCAUAUCGCCUAAAGAUAAAUGGCAUGAUAAAGGCUACAAACAAAAACAUAAAAAGAUAUAUUGAAAAAGAUGAUUGACACAUAUAGGGACUGGCAUUAGAAAUUACUUUUGUUUUUCUUACCUAUAGGACAUCAGUCCAGACUUCAAUAAGAGCUACCCCAUUUUCACUAAUAUAUGGGAUGGAGGCAGUGUUAUCGAUGGACGUAGAAAUUCCUUCUAUAAGAGUUUUGGUGGAAGUGAAAUUGGAUGAGGUAGAUUAGGUUUAAGAUCAUUUUGAACAAUUAAACCUCAUAAAAAAAUAUGCUUUCAGACCUUUGUCGUAGGGAAAUGUAUCAAAAGAUGAUGAUGCUGACGUAUGACAAGAAGUUGCAACCCUGACAUUUUCAUGAAGAAAAAAUGGUUCUAAAGAAGAUCUUGCCAAAUCAAUAAGAUACUAAGAAAAAGUAGGCACUUAAUUAUGAAGGCCCAUAUAUAGCGAAGAAGUCAUUAUUUGGUAGAGCCCUAAUCUUAGCAAAAUUGGAUGGUGAAGAAUUGCCAACUUCAGUAAAUUCUAAUGCUGUAAAGAAAUAUUUCACUUGAGAAAAAAAAGAGAAGAAGAAAAAAAAAUAACAAAAAAAGAGGAUUCGAACUGAAAACUUGCAAAGGGCAAUUUGAACUAAAAAGGGGUUGUUUAAGUUAAAAACUUAAAAAGGGCUUAAAUGAAGAAAAAGUUAGGAAAAAAUUCUUCAAAUCUGAAGCGAAAAAGUACAAAAUGGAUAGAUUAAAGAUAGGGUAAAAAAGAAUAAGUUUAGGGUAAACUUUUAUCAGCUAUAAGUCAUGGGGUAAGGAUUAGUCAUAAGAGUUCAAAUAUAGUAAGAUCGCUAAUGUAAUAAGUUUUUUAAAAAAGAUUUGGUCUAAAUUGACUUAGUUUGUCAAUGUUCAUUAUUUAAAGAAAUGAUAUUUGAUUCCCUGAAUGCCAUUUGAAUUUUUUGAUCCUUUAUGUUUCAAUAAAAUUAUUUUUUCCUUUCCAAACCAAAAUAAAUAUCUCAUCAUUAAUUAAAGUUCAUAUUCAACUUUGAACAUAAAAUCAUUGCAUUUGUCACAGAAAUUGGGGUAAUUAUUGAUAAUGCUUAUAAUAAACCAAUGUGUUGCUCAAAAAGAAGAAUGGAAAGGUAACAAAAGAUAACAAUACAUGAAAGUAAGAAUUAAUUAACUAAUAAGAAGGGUGGAUAAAGAAAGAACUUGGGAAGCUUCUAGAUAAGUAAGGGUCAUAGAAUACAUUUGUCAAAAAAGGAAAAAAAGAAAGAGAAGGAAAGAAAGAAACAAGGCAUGAAAACAAAAUGGGAAAAUAUCCAAAGCAACCUUUACAGUUUGAAAGAGCUGAACUAAUCUUGAACAUUAAAUUAACAUGAUCAAUAAACACAUGCUAUAAAUCCUUGAUUGCCUUUCUAUCAUCCAUAUCCAUUAUAGUAGUCACAUGUGUUACAUACAUUCUUUUAAUAAAUCAUGUUAAAGGUUUUUCAAGAAAAGAGGUUAAAUUGAACCAGAAUGUUUUUUCAAAACAAGGUUUCAUUAGCAUGAGAAAGAAAAUUUGCCCCUAGUCACUUUUAUUUCAUAACUCGUGGUUCAAUCCCGAUCAUCCUUAUUUCUUGACUUGUGAUUCAAUUCUCAGUCAUCUUUAUUUCUUGACUCACAAUUCAAUUCCUCAUCAUCUUUAUCUCUUAACUCAUAGAUUAAUCCCUAAUCAUCCUUAUUUUCUAACUUGCUGUUCAAUUCUCAGCCAUCAUUAUUUUUCAACUUGAGUUUAGUCCCAAUUAUCUUUGUUUAUUGACUUACGACUUAGUCUUGGUCAUUCUUAUUUUCUGACUUAUGGUUUAGUACUUAUUGUUCUUUGUUUCUUGACUUGUGGAUCCGUCUCGAUCAUUUUUAUUUCUCGACUUGCGGUUUAGUCCCAGUCGUUUUUGUUUCUUGACUUGUGAUUCAGUUCUGAUCAUUCUUGUUCCCUAACUUGCAAUUCAAUCCCAAUCUUUCUUAUUUUUUGACCUAUGGCUCAAUCAUGAUCAUCUUUAUUUUCCAAGUGGCUAUUUAGUCCUAAUCAUCCUUUAUUUCUCAACUUACGAUUUAGUCUCAAUCGUUUAUAUGUUUUAAUUUGUUGUUCAAUCCGACCAUUCUUAUUCUCUGAUUUAUAUGUUAAUCCUAAUCAUUUGUCGCCAUUUGUGGAUUAGUCUAGAUCACUUUCAGCUUAGAUAUGAAAAAAAAAAAAAAACUCUCCUUAAGAUGUAGCAUCUGAACAAAUUAGUUGUUAAUGUCUUUGUAUUAUUCUUAAUCCUAAAAAAUAUGCAAAAAGUGAUAGCAAUAGAUAUUUAAUUUUGUUUAAUAUAUUCUAUCUUUGUAAUCCAAGCUAAUUUUUACAAUUAGGCUUAAACCAUCAUUUUUCGAGCCCACUACACUAUCCAUUUUUAAAUGCUCUGGUAUGAGACCCAAUGUUGGUCCCAUAAUGAGGCCCAUUGUAUAGACUCGAAUUAAUACCUAAAUGGCAUAAUAAAAUACCUAAUAAAUGGCAUAUCCUUAAAGUCCAUUAAUGACAUAUAUAUAUAUAAAUUAUUAAAUAAAAACCCAAAUAAAAUAUAUAUAAAAAUUAUUAAAUAAAAAACCAAAUAAAAAUAUAAAAAUUAAUUAUUAAAAAAAAUAAAAAAAGGGCUUGGCCAAAAAUAAAAUCAUGAGAGCCUAAACAAAGCUAAAAUAAAACAAAUGAAAGAAGCCCAAAAGUAACCCAAAAAAAUAAAAGCCCAAUUGGGCCACAAAUCAAGGCUAAGGCCCUAAACCAUUAACUACUCUUUAAAGCCCAAGACAUGGCCAAGAAUUGGGACCAUUCGGUUUAACCUUGUUUGGAGGAAAAGCCAUGUAAAAAAAGAGGAAAAUAAUGGAAAUCAUGCAUGAAAUGGCAUGCAUAAGCUAGUACAUGAAAAAAGCAAAAACUAAAAGGAAUGCCAUGAAGUGGAGAAUGUGGAUGCAUGAAAGCAGUAGUGAAAAACAGUUCCAAGAAAAAGAGAGUGAAGAGCUUUCAAGUAGAGGCAAACAAAAAAAAGCAAAAACAAACGAAAACUGGCAAAAAAAGAGAACCAGAGAAAGGGAUACCGGAACAAAAAAAAAAGAAGCAUUCGUGAGAGGAGAAAGGAGUGGUGUUCAUGAAAAGAGUGGUAGAAGCAAAAAAAAAAAGAGAAAACUAGUAAGAAAAGAAGAGGAAAAAUGCCAGCAGCAAAAAAAAAAAGAUAAAACACCAGUAGCAAAACAAACGGGGAAGCAUUCGUUCGAAAAAAACUAAGCGUUAAACAAAAAAGAAAGCUUGGCCAACGGAGAGCUAUAACUUUUGAAAAGUUUGCUGAAAAGGUAUCUCUUUUGUUUCUCUUCUAAUUCGCUUUCAUGCACAUGAACACUGUUAUCAUUUCCAUGUGCAUUCUUUUUUUAUUGUCUCUGGUUUGGCUGAUAGAAGCUUAAGGCUUCAUGUUUUUUCUAUUCAGUUAGCAAAAGCUUGAAGCUUUAUAGUUUUUCUCUUUUCAGUUUGGUUGGCAGAAGCUUAAAGCUCAUUUUUUUUUCUUUUCUUUUCUUCUGUCAUUAGUUUUUGCAUGGAAGCAUAAAGUUUCAAUUUUUUUAGGUUCUCUGUUUUCCAUUUUCUACAUAUAGAUUAUCAUCGACACAAGUUUUUCCUAUUUUGAUUUUCCUUUCCUUUCUUUCCCGCAUCGGGCUUGUAUAUGAGAGCUUAAAGCUCUAUCAUUCUCUAGCAUUCUAUCUCGUUAUUUGGGGAAUCUUAAAGCUUCCAUCUUUCGGUGGCUUCUGGCUUGUUUGCUCUAUACAUGGGAUGCUAAGGGAUGUGGUUUGCUUUGCACGAGGGUUACUUGUAAGGAAGCUUACUUUAUUUUUCUUUAUAUUUGCAAGUUAGGGAGUCUGGUCCAUUUUCCUUUGUAUGCAUGAAGUUUUAAUGACUAUCAGAGCUUUUUUUUCCCAUGUUUUAUAACUUUAAACAAAAGAGAGAAAGUUGCAGGGGUAACAUGAACUUGGCUUUGAAACUGUAUGGCAGGGAGUCUUAAGUUUUUUUAGAUCGAAUUUUUCUUUUUUCAAUGAAAAACCAAAAUUUUAAAAUAUGCUAGAAACUUGUACGCCCUCAAUAAAGUUUAUUUUCAUGUAUGCUUUAUAUCAUUCAAUUCAUGCAUAUUUCUUUUAUGUUGUUUAAAUUUAAUUACAAUUUAAAUUUCAUGCAUUUUUAAUUUUUAUCUUGGUUAAAUUUUUAUGUUCAUUUUCAUUUUUAUGCAAUUUUCAUGCUAUAAUUUACUUUUGAUAUAAUUCAUUUUUUAUACAUUUUAGAUUUAUGUAAAAAAAAUAAAAAAGACCAAACAAUAAUCAUAAAAAAUAUAUAUUUAAUAAAAAAGAAAAAUAUUUUUAAAUCUCUGCCAAGAUGUUGGAGGUAAUUAAAAAUCAUGUUUUAAAAAUUUAAUCUGGUCUAGAUGUUGAGAAAUUAUUAAAUAAUAAAAAAUAAAAAUAAUAAAAGCUAAAUAAUAAUAAAAUAGUAAAAUUUUAAUGGAAAAAAUAUAUAUAAAAAAUAUAAAAAUAUAAGGAUUCAUUUUAUAGAGAAAUUAUGAAAAAUAAGCUUAUUCCAAAAAUCUACUUAGAUGUUAGAGAUUUUUAGAGAGAUUCAUAAAUUUUUAAAAGCUUAAAAUGAAACCUUAAACCUUAUGUGUAAACCCUAAACCCUAAAAUGAAACCUUAAACCCUAUGUGUAAAACCCAAACCUUAAAUGAAAACCCAAACCAUAAAUGGAAUUCUAAAACCCUAAAUUCACUAAAUGUUCCCAAAACUAUCCUAAUUUUCUAAAGAUUUGUGUGAAAACUUUCCAUAAAGUACUCAAAUACCACCUAAAAGAUAGGGUAUUUAAGAAAUUUUAUUUAAAUAAGAUUUUUCAUAUAAUUUCUCAGUCAAAACAAUAAUAAAAUUAAAUAAAGAAUAAAAAUUAAAAUGGGAUUUUAAAUAUAAAUAGUUGCACCCAAACUCUCCCAAGAGGUUGAAGAGUUCAGGUGAUUUUUUUAUAUUUAAGGACUCGAUCCCAAAGUCACAUCUCAUUAUCGCUUAUGACAUGCAUUUGCAUAUAUCCCUUUUUCUAUCAAUGUUUGCACUCAUUAUGCAUAUAUAUAUUUUAUUUAUUGACAUUUAUAGUUAACUAUAGCAUUUUUCAUUUUUACUGCAUAAAAAGGUUUUCAAAAAUUUGAUUUCAAAAAAAUAAAAUUAAAAAAACAUUUCAAGGAAGAUAAUUUUUAGUACUCUACCUAAAUAUUGGAGAGUUGCCAAUAAUUAUCGUUUGCAAAAAAUAUUUUUUUUAAGGAAUGUUGCAGUAAAUCUUAGACGGCAAUGAUUAUCUUUGAAUUCUGUCUAUAUGUUGGAGAAUUAUAUGAUAUUUUUUUAAUCUAAAGAUUUUCACAAUUGUAUUUAUUGAUUUUCUUUCUUCAAAAUGAAAGGAGUUAUUAUUUAAUCUUAAAUAAAGACCAUUUUUAUCCAAAAUUAUAGAUAAUGCAUGAUUAAUUGAUACCAAUUUUUAUAGGCAUUGUAAGGGUGCUAAACAUUUUCUAUGCAUAACUGACUCUUGAACCUAUUUCUAUUUUCAUAAACCAAAAUUUUCUUUCUAAUAAACUUUAAACUCGUUUUAUUAUUUUAUUAAAAAGAUAAAAUUUUUAGAUAGUCAAUCACACCCUAAAAAAGAUUAUAAUGACUCCCCAUUUUCUUGAUUUCAAAAUUUUUACGUUUAGUGAUCAAGUUUCCAAACCGAUACAUUAUGACAAUCAACAAAAACACUUUUUUAAUCACAUUAUUAAAUACACUUAAUAUUUAAAAUAUAAUUCUCUAUUUCUUCUAAAUACACCUUAUCCUAAUAGUAUCACAUUUCCCUUCAUAUCUUUUUCACUCUCUUUUUCAUUCUCUCACUUUUAAUCCAAAUUCAAUACAAACUUAACCCUAAAACCAUUAAACUAACCCCUAAAUCAUCAGGUUUUUAUUCCAUUUAUUAUAAGAUUUCGAGAUUUUUAUUCAUUAAUUAGGUUGAAAUCAUGCAAAAAUUAAGAUUUUUACGAAAGUUUUUUGGUCCAAAUCAUACUUCUCAAAAAUGGAUUUUGUAGAGUCUUAAACAUUUUAUAGAGUGUAAAUGGGGUGUAAAAUUUUUUUCAUUGAAAUCAUGUUUCUCAUAAAUGAAUUUCGAGAGUUUUAAACAUCAAAGUGUAAAAAUGGUAAAGUUAUAAUUCACUAAAAGAUAAAUUUGGUAUUUUAUAUAUGAGUAUUUUUGGCAAAAAAAUAUUGAAGCAUGAAGAAAAUUUUUCAAAAAUUUUGAAGGCUUCUCAAAAAUGGAUUUCCAACAGCAUUUUAAAGCUCUCAAAACUGGAUUUUCAAAGAUCUUAAAUGUUUGGGUAUAAAAAUGGUAAAAUUACAAUUAACUAAAAAAUAAAAUUAAUAUUUUAUAUAUGAAUAUUUUAAAAAUUUAUAUAUUAAGGUAAGAAGAGAAAUUUGAGUGGUAUAUUUAGAACCACUCUUCUAAUAUGAAUGGGGGAAUUCUGUUUGCACUCUAUUUAUUACUCUAUACACCUCACUUUUAAAUACACCAUAAAUUCAAAACUCAUGAAUUUCCUAUUCCUACUAAAUACACCCCCACUCCCCACUCCCAACUUUUUAUUUUCCAUUCCUACAUUUUCUUUCUUCUUCUCUCUUCAUUUUUCAAUCCAAAAAACAAAAAAAAAAAAAAACCCUAUGUCCAUUAAAUUAACCCCAAAUCACUUGUAAUUUUUAGUUUUUCAGUGAUUAAAGGUAAGAUUCUUACCUUAUUUUUUAUUGAUUUUGGUUGAAUUAUGGUUGAAAUCAUGUGAAUAUAAGUUAGGGUUUGCAAUAGGAUUUAGGAGAAAUGGAGCUUCUUAAAAAUGGAUAUCCAAGAAGCUUUAAAGCUUUCAAAAAUCCUUUUUUUAAAAAAUUAAAAAAUUCUUGGAUAUCCUGUAAGGCUUCUUAGAUAUAUAUUUUUGAAAAUCAUUAAAGCUUCUUGGAAAUGCUUUUCGAAAUAGAUUUUCAAAAAGACUUAAAACUUCUUGAAUAUUCAUUUUUGAAAAGUCUUAAAGUAUUUUGGAUAAAGUUUUUGGAUAUCCAUAUCCACAAACUUUUAUGAACUUUCGAAAGUUGAUUUCUUACCUUUAAUUACUAGAAACCUUACUCAUGCAUAUUCAUGUCCCGAGAGCUAUUCAAGAAUGACUUAAUUAAAAAUAUAUACACUUAUGGACCCAUUUACUUGAUCAUGUGUGCAAAUGAAACUAAAAUGGAUACUCUCAAACAUGCAUGGCCCAAACUUGUUCUUUCUAUUAAGACUCCAAAAAACCAAGAACACCUUUUUUUUUAUUUUCUUGUUUUGCAUGGGCAAAAGGAAAUUCUUGGUUUUUUGGUCUAAAGACAAGAACAUCAUUAUACCUAUGCAUGCUUGAGAACUAAUGGGUCACUUUCAUUUGCACAUAUGAUCAAGUAAGCAUAGGCACAUGACUCAACCCCUCCCACCCAUGCUUGCUUGAAAAAUUGCUCCAAUAUUCCCACAUUUGUAUUAUUUAUUUUAAGAUUAAAUGUAUUUAUUUUAUUUAAAUUAAAAAUAAACAUUAUUAAGAGUUUAUAAUUAAAUAUAUAUUUAAAUAAAAAUUUAUGUAUUUUCAAAAAUAGAUUUUUGAGAAUACAAUGUAAAUCUCAAAAAUGAAAUUUUGAAAAUUAUUUUGUAUUCACGAAAAUUUUGAAAAAUACAAUUGCAAUCUCGAAAAUCCAUUUCUGAGAUUGCAAUAUAAUUCUCCUAUCGUUAAAUUUAAAAGAAAAAGAACGGUUAAUUGUAUAUAAGUAAUUGAGGACAUUUUUGUCAUUUACUAAUGGCUAAAAUUGGUAUUUGCUAUGUGGGUUUUUUGACAGGAAAUUUAGGAGCUAUAUAAAGAAUAUGAGUAGUGCACAUUUAUUGUAUAAAUUUUUUUCAAAGUUUUUAUUUUUUAUUUUUUUCAAACCUAAACCCAACUCGACCUGAUAUUGUAUAAAUCAUACCCGACUAAUUCGACCUAAAAUUAAUAAAAUAUUAUUUUUAAAAUAUAAAAUAUUACUUUUUAAAAAUAAAUAUAUAAUAUAUAUAAUAUAUAUAAAUAAAAAAUUAAAUAAUUAAUUAAAAAAUAAUUUUUAUAUAAUAUCGGAUUGAGUCAGGUCGGGUUUGCCUAAAACACAAAUCCGAUUCGAUCUCGAUUUUUUCUUAACAUUACCCGACCCAAAAUCUAAUUUUCAAAAAAAUAAAAAAUCGACCCUAUGAGAUCGGGUAGGGUCGAAAAUCACCAUAGGCGGGUUGGGCUACCAACCUUAUUUAUACGUUGACAAACACCUGUUUGUAUAGAAAAUGCUUUAAAUAAUUCUUUCAUAUUUUAGGAUUUAUGGUUAAUAUAUUUAUAAAAAAAUUAUUUAAGAUGUUUUUUGUUAAAAAAAAAAAGCUUAAAAAGAUUAUUUUAUGCGUUUUUGUACAAAAAAUGCCUUAAAUAAUUUUUUUUAUAUUUUAGGAUUUAGAGUUAAUAUUUUUAGGGUUUAGGUUAAUUUUUUUAUAAAAGCAUUAUUUAAGGCAUUUUUUAUACAAAAACAUCUUAAAUAAUCAUUUUAUUUUUUAUAAAUGGAUUAUUCAAAGGUUUUUGUAUAAAAAAUACUUUAAAUAAUCUUUUUAUAUUUUAAGGUUUAAGUUUAAUAUUUUUAUAAAAGGAUUAUUUAAAGUGUUUUUUGUACAAAAAUACCUUAAAUAAUCUUUUUAUAAAUAAAAAAAUAAUUAUUAAAUAUUCAUAAUAUAAAAAAAUAAAAAAACUAUUUAAGACGUUUCUGUAUAAAAAUAUUAUUUAAGACAUUUUUAUAUAAAAAAAUACUUUAUGUAGACACUCAUUUUUUAGUAAGCUUCAAAAUAAAUAAUAAAAAAAGAUAAAUAAUAGAUAAAUAGAAGCUAAGUUUCAAUCCUAGUCAAAUGGUAGGAUGAAGACUUUAAAUUUUGAAACUGGGAUCAUUUUUUGAAAAAGAGGGGAUAAAUAGAUGAAAGGAUGGGAAGAUUAUGAUUUUUUAAUCCUCAAACUGACCCUAUUUAAACCAUCAACCGCACACAAAAUAGGGAGAAAGAGGAGGAAACACAUUAGGAACAAACAGAAAAGAAAUAUCAACAAAUCCUAACAAAUUUCAAUAAAUCUUUUUUAUCAAAUUUCCAUACCCCUUACCUAUUAUCACCAACCCAACCAACAUAGACACUCCCAAAAAAAAAACACCCAAUAGUCACUUAGUCAAGCCACCCCAACUUAUUGAACCUAAAAAGUUCGAAGCACAAAAUAUAGCAUAUUUAAGAAUCAUUAGCAAAUAUUAUUUGCACUUGCCAAAUACAUAAAAAAGAAGAGGUAACAAUCACUGGUAACCCAAAUCGACAAUUGGCAAUAAAAAAUUCAACAAACAAAUAGCCAGCAAUCACAUUCCAUUUGUAACACACAAAGGCAAGACUCAAAGUCAGAUUACGUAGUAAAAUUCAAAGGGAAACCAGAAGGAAAGAAAGCAAAUCAGAAGCAAAAUCCCAUUAAGGAAAAAAACUAGUUUUACUUUACCUAAGACCCUUAAAGAUACCGUAGCAGCCGAACCUUACUCCACCAUACCACCAUCAUCCAUCUCCCAUCAGAAUUCACCCAUUGCUAGUAAAGCGCAUCAGUGAAAAUCCAAUAACAGAUCAAGUAAAGUCAGAAACUAAGGGAAAGUCAGAAAUAAGGAUUUUUUAGGUUUCCAAUAAGUACUCUUACCAAGGGUUUUUAGGGCUUUCAAGUCAUCAACAAGGCAACCUAGGAAAAGAGGAAGAACAUGUUGUGGAAUAGUGGCCAAAUGAGUAGCAUCAGGAGAGAUUCAAGCAUUUGAGUCCACGCUCUUAAAAUCUUGAUCUACAUAAAUGGAGACGUUUUUGUGGUAAACUAAAUACACCAUGUGAAAGAAGAGGCCAAAACAAUUUUCUGAGUGAAAUUUGGGCUUGAAUUGUCAUCAAUAACAGUGGUUGAAGGUGACCAGAGGGGCCAACGACGAUAGCGUUUCACCGGGGUUUAAAAACUUGUGGAGUUUCCAACCAACCUUCAUCCCUUCUUAGAAAGAGAGAGAGAGACCGAGUAGAAAUUGUAAAGUGAGGAAAAAACUUGUAAAAUGGAAAAUAAAGUUUAAAGGAAGGCUUUUAUAGCUUCGAUCAAGCGGUGCCAUUUUAACUAAAGAAAAUGGGUUCCUUUUGACCCAUUUCAAGGAUCCAUGCAUCAAAAUUGGGCAAUCCGAUCCAACCGCUUAGCCUGAUCUUCUGCCCAAUCCAGCUCUGUGCCAUUUGAGCU